CUUGGGACGAAACCAAGAGUUGGAUGCUUAACCGACUGAGCCACCCAGGUGGCAGAAAGUCAAGUGAGCCCCCAGCUGAUGGCUUCGGUGUUUUGUCAGAAAAGGAAACCAAGUUUUCUGCUGGAACGAGAAGAGCAAACUUGGAAGGGCCUCAAUUCUCUACCACUCCCAGUAUCCCCCAGUCUGGGGGUGACUGCUCCAGUAGGGCUCCUCGGCCAUCUCUCACUGCCCUCACCUCAGCUUUAGGAACUGGCCUGCAGUCUGACAUCUGGAAAGAGGCAAGCUGCGGUGGAGUGGCGCGAGCCAGCGCUCGCCAAGGCGCUCAUCUGUGCAAGCAGGAAAGAAGCUAACAAGAUUUGUGACGCCCUUCUUAUUUCAAAGUGUCAUCUUUGUGACAAGUAUUUAGAGAGCGCAAAGUUGUACCUACUACGUCCAAGAUCCUGGAGAGAAUCUGGAGCAAAGGGUUAUUUUGGAUACCCCACUCUCUCCCCAGCAGUCCCCUUCAGGUAAAUUUAAGGUAAAUUUCCCUCAGCAACCUCACAUCCGGCAU